rnacentral:rRNA from 1 species
AUUGAACGCUGGCGGCAUGCCUUACACGUGCAAGUCGAACGGUAACAGGUCUUCGGAUGCUGACGAGUGGCGAACGGGUGAGUAAAGCAUCGGAACGUGCCCAGUCGUGGGGGAUAACUGCUCGAAAGAGCAGCUAAUACCGCAUACGACCUAAGGGUGAAAGCGGGGGACCUUCGGGCCUCGUGCGAUUGGAGCGGCCGAUGUCAGAUUAGAUAGUUGGUGGGGUAAAGGCUUACCAAGUCGACGAUCUGUAGCUGGUCUGAGAGGACGACCAGCCACACUGGGACUGAGACACGGCCCAGACUCCUACGGGAGGCAGCAGUGGGGAAUUUUGGACAAUGGGCGAAAGCCUGAUCCAGCAAUGCCGCGUGCAGGAAGAAGGCCUUCGGGUUGUAAACUGCUUUUGUACGGAACGAAAAGGUUCUUUUUAAUAAAGAGGACUGAUGACGGUACCGUAAGAAUAAGCACCGGCUAACUACGUGCCAGCCGCCGCCGUAA